AAAUCCAGCUUUACAGUAUCCUUCAAACGACAGAACACAGGGCCGAGCCAGUUGGACCGCACUAGCUGCACUGGUAGUGUACAACCUGUACUUAAUCUGUGGUGCUGGGAACCAAAGCCUAGAACCAUCCACAUGCCACAAAAGCACUCCACCACCACUGCACCUCAGCGCUUAUAACUUAUUCUGCUACCUUAUUCCUCCACCCUUUACUCAAACCCUUGCUUUUUACUUUGAUCAAAACCCAUCAGCACCAUCCAGUUGGAGGAACGGUUUAAUUUGGGUCACCUGAAUUAGACUUCCAUCAUGAACAAGUGCUUCACCCUGUUCCUUUCUUAGACACGAAUGCAAGGAACUAGGUUAGUAUGUAUUUGACACUGUGGUAGAGAUCAAGCUAAGUAUACUCCUUACUACCAAACUGGAAAUGUCAAAUUGUGACAACAGCCCAGGGACCUUGGAAAAGAAGAAGAAUCUAAAGCAGUGGUUCUCAACACUCCUAAUGCUGUGACCCUUUAAUACAGUCCCUCACAUUGUGGUGACCCCACCAUAAAACUAUUUACUACUUCAUAACUAUAAUUUUGCUAUUAUUAAUCAUGAUGUAAAUAGCUGAUAAUCCGUUAUGCGGCCCCUGUGAAAGGGGUUUCGAGUUCAACCCAGAGGUUGAGAAUCACUGAACUAAUUAUUUAAUGAAAGGAAGGUUUCACAGCAUAAUUGCCAAGGUAAUCAAACUAUAAAAUUCUGUACAUUUCCCUGUAACUACCUUAUCUGUUACUAUACUGUUCAAAUGUUAAAGAAAAAAGGAAGAAAGAAGAUAGCAAAACUACUUCAUAUAUCAUUUGCUUGGCUUUGAAAGUGUUUGAGUAGAGAUGGUGCAUGACUUGUUUUCCCGUUGCCAAACAAAAUAAAGUCGUUAUAUGUAUG
rnacentral:lncRNA from 1 species